rnacentral:sRNA from 1 species
AGACUACCCAGUUCGUGUGGGUGAGACCCUGCGUUCAGGUUCGAGCCGAGGAUGCGAGACAGCAACGCGCCAGCGUUGACCCGAAGGGCGAGUCAUCCCAUUCGGCUCAAAG